GACGAACCGUGCGAACGUUGUUCGGAAUCACUUGGCUUAAAGGGCGCGUAGGCGGGCUAUCAAGUCCGGGGUGAAAUCCUCCAGCUCAACUGGAGAACGGCCUCGGAUACUGAUGGUCUCGAGGAGGAUAGGGGCACACGGAACUGUGGGUGGAGCGGUGAAAUGCGUUGAUAUCCAUAGGAACUCCGGUGGCGAAAGCGGUGUGCUGGAUCCUUUCUGACGCUGAUGCGCGAAAGCCAGGGGAGCAAACGGG
rnacentral:rRNA from 1 species